GAUGAACGCUGGCGGCGUGCCUAAUACAUGCAAGUCGAGCGAACAGACGAGGAGCUUGCUCCUCUGACGUUAGCGGCGGACGGGUGAGUAACACGUGAUAACCUACCUAUAAGACUGGGAUAACUUCGGGAAACCGGAGCUAAUACCGGAUAAUAUAUUGAACCGCAUGGUUCAAUAGUGAAAGACGGUUUUGCUGUCACUUAUAGAUGGAUCCGCGCCGCAUUAGCUAGUUGGUAAGGUAACGGCUUACCAAGGCAACGAUGCGUAGCCGACCUGAGAGGGUGAUCGGCCACACUGGAACUGAGACACGGUCCAGACUCCUACGGGAGGCAGCAGUAGGGAAUCUUCCGCAAUGGGCGAAAGCCUGACGGAGCAACGCCGCGUGAGUGAUGAAGGUCUUCGGAUCGUAAAACUCUGUUAUUAGGGAAGAACAAAUGUGUAAGUAACUAUGCACGUCUUGACGGUAUCUAAUCAGAAAGCCACGGCUAACUACGUG
rnacentral:rRNA from 1 species